GCCUUGGGUCCGGCAUAACCCCGGGAAACUGGGGAUAAUUCCGGAUAACGCACAUAUGCUGGAAUGCUUUAUGCGUAAAAUGGAUUCGUCUGCCCGAGGAUGGGUCUGCGGCCUAUCAGGUAGUAGUGGGUGUAAUGUACCUACUAGCCAACAACGGGUACGGGUUGUGAGAGCAAGAGCCCGGAGAUGGAUUCUGAGACAUGAAUCCAGGCCCUACGGGGCGCAGCAGGCGCGAAAACUUUACAAUGCGGGAAACCGUGAUAAGGGGACACCGAGUGCCAGCAUCAUAUGCUGGCUGUCCAGGUGUGUAAAAUACACCUGUCAGCAAGGGCCGGGCAAGACCGGUGCCAGCCGCCGCGGUAACACCGGCGGCCCGAGUGGUGAUCGUGAUUAUUGGGUCUAAAGGGUCCGUAGCCGGUUUGGUCAGUCCUCCGGGAAAUCUGACGGCUUAACCGUUAGGCUUUCGGGGGAUACUGCCAGGCUUGGAACCGGGAGAGGUAAGAGGUACUACAGGGGUAGGAGUGAAAUCUUGUAAUCCCUGUGAGACCACCUGUGGCGAAGGCGUCUUACCAGAACGGGUUCGACGGUGAGGGACGAAAGCUGGGGGCACGAACCGGAUUAGAUACCCGGGUAGUCCCAGCCGUAAACGAUGCUCGCUAGGUGUCAGGCAUGGCGCGACCGUGUCUGGUGCCGCAGGGAAGCCGUGAAGCGAGCCACCUGGGAAGGACGGCCGCAAGGC
rnacentral:rRNA from 1 species